UUAGUGCUGAGGAGUCCUAGAAUAAGACGAAACGGCCGUCCAGUAC
rnacentral:hammerhead_ribozyme from 1 species